GACGAACGCUGGCGGCGUGCUUAACACAUGCAAGUCGAACGGAAAGGCCCUGCUUUUGUGGGGUGCUCGAGUGGCGAACGGGUGAGUAACACGUGAGUAACCUGCCCUUGACUUUGGUAUAACUUCAGGAAACUGGGGCUAAUCCCGGAUAGCAGCUCCUGCUGCAUGGUGGGGAUUGGAAAGUUUCGGCGGUUGGGGAUGGACUCGCGGCUUAUCAGCUUGUUGGUGGGGUAGUGGCUUACCAAGGCUUUGACGGGUAGCCGGCCCGAGAGGGUGACCGGCGACAUUGGGACUGAGAUACGGCCCAGACUGCUACGGGAGGCAGCAGUGGGGAAUAUUGCACAAUGGGAGGAAGUCUGAUGCAGAAACGCCGCGUGCGGGAUGACGGCCUUCGGGUUGUAAACCGCUUUCGCCUGUGACGAAGCGUGAGUGACGGUAAUGGGUAAAGAAGCACCGGCUAACUACGUG
rnacentral:rRNA from 1 species